GAGCACGCCGCGUGAGUGAUGAAGGUUUUCGGAUCGUAAAGCUCUGUUGUUAGGGAAGAACAAGUGCGAGAGUAACUGCUCGCACCUUGACGGUACCUAACCAGAAAGCCACGGCUAACUACGUGCCAGCAGCCGCGGUAAUACGUAGGUGGCAAGCGUUGUCCGGAAUUAUUGGGCGUAAAGGGCUCGCAGGCGGUUUCUUAAGUCUGAUGUGAAAGCCCCCGGCUCAACCGGGGAGGGUCAUUGGAAACUGGGAAACUUGAGUGCAGAAGAGGAGAGUGGAAUUCCACGUGUAGCGGUGAAAUGCGUAGAGAUGUGGAGGAACACCAGUGGCGAAGGCGACUCUCUGGUCUGUAACUGACGCUGAGGAGCGAAAGCGUGGGGAGCGAACAGGAUUAGAUACCCUGGUAGUCCACGCCGUAAACGAUGAGUGCUAAGUGUUAGGGGGUUUCCGCCCCUUAGUGCUGCAGCUAACGCAUUAAGCACUCCGCCUGGGGAGUACGGUCGCAAGACUGAAACUCAAAGGAAUUGACGGGGGCCCGCACAAGCGGUGGAGCAUGUGGUUUAAUUCGAAGCAACGCGAAGAACCUUACCAGGUCUUGACAUCCUCUGACAACCCUAGAGAUAGGGCUUUCCCUUCGGGGACAGAGUGACAGGUGGUGCAUGGUUGUCGUCAGCUCGUGUCGU
rnacentral:rRNA from 1 species